UAGGGAAUCUUCGGCAAUGGACGAAAGUCUGACCGAGCAACGCCGCGUGAGUGAAGAAGGUUUUCGGAUCGUAAAACUCUGUUGUUAGAGAAGAACAAGGACGUUAGUAACUGAACGUCCCCUGACGGUAUCUAACCAGAAAGCCACGGCUAACUACGUGCCAGCAGCCGCGGUAAUACGUAGGUGGCAAGCGUUGUCCGGAUUUAUUGGGCGUAAAGCGAGCGCAGGCGGUUUCUUAAGUCUGAUGUGAAAGCCCCCGGCUCAACCGGGGAGGGUCAUUGGAAACUGGGAGACUUGAGUGCAGAAGAGGAGAGUGGAAGUCCAGGUGUAGCGGUGAAAUGCGUAGAUAUAUGGAGGAACACCAGUGGCGAAGGCGGCUCUCUGGUCUGUAACUGACGCUGAGGCUCGAAAGCGUGGGGAGCAAACAGG
rnacentral:rRNA from 1 species